GCAUCUUUUUAUUUUUAAAAGACCUAGCAAUAGGUAUGCUUAGGGAAGAGCUUGCGUCACAUUAGUUAGUUGGUGGGGUAAUGGCCUACCAAGACGAUGAUGUGUAGCCGGGCUGAGAGGUCGAACGGCCACAUUGGGACUGAGACACGGCCCAAACUCCUACGGGAGGCAGCAGUAAGGAAUUUUCGGCAAUGGAGGAAACUCUGACCGAGCAAUGCCGCGUGAACGAUGAAGUAUUUCGGUACGUAAAGUUCUUUUAUUAGGGAAGAAAAGAUGGUGGAAAAACCAUUAUGACGGUACCUAAUGAAUAAGCCCCGGCUAACUAUGUGCCAGCAGCCGCGGUAAUACAUAGGGGGCAAGCGUUAUCCGGAAUUAUUGGGCGUAAAGGGUGCGUAGGCGGUUAAAUAAGUUUAUGGUCUAAGUGCAACGCUCAACGUUGUGAUGCUAUAAAAACUGUUUAGCUAGAGUUGGAUAGAGGCAAGUGGAAUUCCGUGUGUAGUGGUAAAAUGCGUAAAUAUACGGAGGAACACCAGAAGCGAAGGCGGCUUGCUGGGUCUUAACUGACGCUGAGGCACGAAAGCGUGGGGAGCAAACAGGAUUAGAUACCCUGGUAGUCCACGCCCUAAACGAUGAGUACUAAACGUUGGAUAAAACCAGUGUUGAAGUUAACACAUUAAGUACUCCGCCUGAGUAGUACGUACGCAAGUAUGAAACUUAAAGGAAUUGACGGGACUCCGCACAAGCGGUGGAUCAUGUUGUUUAAUUCGAAGGUACCCGAAAAACCUCACCAGGUCUUGACAUGCUUUUGCAAAGCUGUAGAAAUACAGUGGAGGUUAUCAGAAGCACAGGUGGUGCAUGGUUGUCGUCAGCUCGUGUCGUGAGAUGUUGGGUUAAGUCCCGCAACGAGCGCAACCCUUGUUGUUAAUUGCCAUCAUUAAGUUGGGGACUUUAGCAAGACUGCCAAUGAUAAAUUGGAGGAAGGUGGGGACGACGUCAAAUCAUCAUGCCCCUUAUGACCUGGGCUACAAACGUGAUACAAUGGCUGUUACAAAGGGUAGCUAAAGCGUAAGCUUCUGGCGAAUCUCAAAAAAGCAGUCUCAGUUCGGAUUGAAGUCUGCAACUCGACUUCAUGAAGUUGGAAUCGCUAGUAAUCGCGAAUCAGCAU
rnacentral:rRNA from 1 species